GCAUGGCUGUCGUCAGCUCGUGUCGUGAGAGUGUUCGGUUAAGUCCGGCUAACGAGCGCAACCCUCCGCUGUAUGUUACAUGUGUCAUACAGGACCGCCGGUAUCAAGCCGGAGGAAGGUGGGGAUGACGUCAAGUCCGCAUGGCCUUUAUGUCCGGGGCUACACACACGCUACAAUGGUCGGUACAAUGGGUUGCUAAGCCGCGAGGUGGAGCCAAUCCCCCAAAGCCGGCCUCAGUUCAGAUUGCAGGCUGCAACUCGCCUGCAUGAAGCUGGAGUUGCUAGUAAACGCGCGUCAGCUAUAGUGCGUUGAAUACGUUCUCGGGCCUU
rnacentral:rRNA from 1 species